rnacentral:rRNA from 1 species
AGAGUUUGAUCAUGGCUCAGGAUGAACGCUAGCGGCAGGCUUAAUACAUGCAAGUCGUGGGGCAGCACAGGUAGCAAUACUGGGUGGCGACCGGCAAACGGGUGCGGAACACGUACGCAACCUUCCUUUAAGCGGGGAAUAGCCCAGGGAAACUUGGAUUAAUACCCCAUAAGACAGUGGGAUGGCAUCAUCCAGCUGUUAAAGCUCCGGCACUUAAAGAUGGGCGUGCGGCUGAUUAGGUAGUUGGCGGCGUAAUAGCCCACCAAGCCGACGAUCAGUAACUGGUGUGAGAGCACGACCAGUCACACGGGCACUGAGACACGGGCCCGACUCCUACGGGAGGCAGCAGUAAGGAAUAUUGGUCAAUGGACGCAAGUCUGAACCAGCCAUGCCGCGUGGAGGAUGAAGGCCCUCUGGGUUGUAAACUUCUUUUAUUGGGGAAGAAACCGGUGUUUUCUAACGCCGUUGACGGUACCCAUUGAAUAAGCACCGGCUAACUCCGUGCCAGCAGCCGCGGUAAUACGGAGGGUGCAAGCGUUAUCCGGAUUCACUGGGUUUAAAGGGUGCGUAGGUGGGCAGGUAAGUCAGUGGUGAAAUCUCCAAGCUUAACUUGGAAACUGCCGUUGAUACUAUCUGUCUUGAAUAUAGUGGAGGUGAGCGGAAUAUGUCAUGUAGCGGUGAAAUGCUUAGAUAUGACAUAGAACACCAAUUGCGAAGGCAGCUUGCUACACUAUUAUUGACACUGAGGCACGAAAGCGUGGGGAUCAAACAGGAUUAGAUACCCUAGUAGUCC